GACGAACGCUGGCGGCGUGCUUAACACAUGCAAGUCGAACGGACAGGCCCUGCUUUUGUGGGGUGCUCGAGUGGCGAACGCGUGAGUAACACGUGAGUAACCUGCCCUUGACUUUGGGAUAACUUUAGGAAACUGGGGCUAAUACCGGAUAUGAGCUCCUGCUGCAUGGGGGGGGUUGGAAAGUUUCGGUGGUUGGGGAUGGACUCGCGGCGUAUCAGCUUGUUGGUGGGGUAGUGGAGUACCAAGGCUUCGACGGGUAGCCGGCGUGAGAGGGUGAUAGGCCACAUUAGAGCGGAGCCGCGCUCCAGAGGACUGAGAGACGGCGCAGUAGCCUACGGUAGGCAGCAGUGGGAAAUCUUGCGCAAUGGCGGGAAGUCUGUGGAAGAAACGCCGGGUGCGUGAUAACGGCCUACGGGGUGAGAACAGCUUUCUCCGGUGCCAAACCGUGAGUGACGGUAAUUGGUAAAGAAGCCCCGGCUAACUACGUG
rnacentral:rRNA from 1 species